AAGCGGCGGGCGGGUGGCUGCCUCCGCCUCCCUCCCCUUCUCCUCAGAUGCCCUUUGCAGGGUUAUUAUUACAGUUAGUGGCUGCGCUCUGCCCGCCCCCCCUCCGCGCUGCGCAGCGCGCUGGCCGCGCUCCCCGCCCGGCCUGGGCUGGGCUGUGCUGGGCUGGCCGCCGCCCAGAUCAUGUAGAAAGGACAGAAAGUGAGCAGGGAGCGGGGGCUUUUGUCUAUUGUUCUCCUUGUGCUACUUCAGAGAAACUGCAAUCCCAAGACCUAACAGAACCUAAAAAUGGUAUGUCAGCCAGGUUCAAUGAUUUGGGUAAGCCAGAAGAUCUUUCCAACCAGCCAUGGGGUUGGGGGAUUUCCAAAGGAUUUCAGGACUGAGAUUGUUUUCACAGCUGAAAAGGAACUGCCCAACACAAUGCUUUUGGAAAUUUGCCCAGACCUUUGGUCUGUGUGGUGUGCCUGUUUGCAUAU
rnacentral:lncRNA from 1 species